GGGAUAGAGGGGUCACCUCUGACAGGCGGAGCCAUAAGGGCGGAAAACCAGAGAGAUACACAGAGCUGGGCAGAGCUGGGCAGGCACACAGGACUUGGAGAUAACACUUUUUGUCCUCUUGCAGCUUUUUAAAAAAUCCUCUAAGGAGGCUCUCGUCGUCCGCUUCGAUGCCGAAGGCCACGAAGGGCCCCGUGGCGAUGUCCCCCCAGUACCCGCGCGCUGCCACGCGCUCCCCACGCUGGAAAAGGAGGGAGAGAGGAGGCAGGUAAUCUAGAGAUGAUUUGCGGUGUAUGGGACCAUGUGUACAGGCUAUUUAUGCCUGCAUCCCCUUCGCCUCCUGUCAUGAUUGUAAGUUUCCUGAGGCCUUCCCAGCCAUACUCCCUGUACAGCCUGUGGAACUGUGAGUCAAUUAAACCUCUUUUCUUGGGGCCGGGUGUGAUCGCACCCGCCUGUAAACCUAGCACUUUGGCAGGCCAAGGCGGGCGGAUCACCUGAGGUCAGCAUCUCGAGACCAUCC
rnacentral:lncRNA from 1 species